rnacentral:misc_RNA from 1 species
UACGGAGGAUCCAAGCGUUAUCCGGAAUCAUUGGGUUUAAAGGGUCCGUAGGCGGGACAAUAAGUCAGUGGUGAAAGUCCGCAGCUCAACUGUAGAAUUGCCAUUGAUACUGUUGUUCUUGAGUGUUUAUGAAGUGGUUAGAAUAUGUAGUGUAGCGGUGAAAUGCAUAGAUAUUACAUAGAAUACCGAUUGCGAAGGCAGAUCACUAAUAAAAUACUGAUGCUGAUGGCCGAAACCGUAGGUAGAGACAAGG